rnacentral:rRNA from 1 species
CCUACGGGUGGCAGCAGUGGGGAAUAUUGCACAAUGGGGGGAACCCUGAUGCAGCGACGCCGCGUGGGUGAGGAAGUACUUCGGUAUGUAAAGCCCUAUCAGCAGGGAAGAAAAUGACGGUACCUGACUAAGAAGCCCCGGCUAACUACGUGCCAGCAGCCGCGGCACUACGGAGGGGGCAAGCGUUAUCCGGAUUUGCUGGGGGUAAAGGGGGCGUAGACGGUUAAACAAGUCCGAAGUGAAAAGCCAGGGGUCAACCUCGGGACUGCAGUGGAAACUGGCUAGCUGGAGUGAGGGAGAGGGAAGCGGAAUGCCUGGUGUAGCGGUGAAAUGCGUAGAUAUUAGGAGGAACACCGGUGGCGAAGGCAGCUUACUGGACGGUAACUGACGUUGAGGCUCGAAAGCGUGGGGAGCAAACAGGAUUAGAUACCCUGGUAGUC